GACCGGGAUAACCCUGGGAAACUGGGGCUAAUACUGGAUAGGCAAUUAUUCCUGCAAUGGUUUUUUGUUUAAAUGUUUUUUCGCCUAAGGAUGGGUCUGCGGCCGAUUAGGUAGUUGGUUAGGUAAUGGCUUACCAAGCCGUUGAUCGGUACGGGUUGUGAGAGCAAGAGCCCGGAGAUGGAACCUGAGACAAGGUUCCAGGCCCUACGGGGUGCAGCAGGCGCGAAACCUCCGCAAUGUGAGAAAUCGCGACGGGGGGAUCCCAAGUGCCAUUCUUAACGGGAUGGCUUUUCAUUAGUGUAAAGAGCUUUUGGAAUAAGAGCUGGGCAAGACCGGUGCCAGCCGCCGCGGUAACACCGGCAGCUCUAGUGGUAACAAUUUUUAUUGGGCCUAAAGCGUCCGUAGCCGGUUUAAUAAGUCUCUGGUGAAAUCCUGUAGCUUAACUGCGGGAAUUGCUGGAGAUACUAUUAGACUUGAGACCGGGAGAGGUUAGAGGUACUCCCAGGGUAGAGGUGAAAUUCUGUAAUCCUGGGAGGACCGCCUGUUGCGAAGGCGUCUAACUGGAACGGUUCUGACGGUGAGGGACGAAAGUUAGGGGCGCGAACCGGAUUAGAUACCCGGGUAGUCCUAACUGUAAACGAUGCGGACUUGGUGUUGGGGUGGCUUUGAGCUGCUCCAGUGCCGAAGGGAAGCUGUUAAGUCCGCCGCCUGGGAAGUACGGUCGCAAGACUGAAACUUAA
rnacentral:rRNA from 1 species